GUGCUCCCUAUCACAGCACAUAUAUUAAAUAUUGGAAUAAUACAGAGAGUAGCAUGGCCCCUGCACAAGGAUGACGCCUAAAAUCUCUACCCACAUCUCCAUUCU
ensembl:snRNA U6 U6 spliceosomal RNA